UACGGGAGGCAGCAGGGGGGAAUAUUGCACAAUGGGCGCAAGCCUGAUGCAGCCAUGCCGCGUGUAUGAAAAAGGCCUUCGGGUUGUAAAGUACUUUCAGUCGUGAGGAAGGUGUUAAGGUUAAUAACCUUAGCAAUUGACGUUAGCGACAGAAGAAGCACCGGCUAACUCCGUGCCAGCAGCCGCGGUAAUACGGAGGGUGCGAGCGUUAAUCGGAAUUACUGGGCGUAAAGGGCACGCAGGCGGUUAAUUAAGUUGGAUGUGAAAUCCCCGGGCUUAACCUGGGAAUGGCAUUCAAGACUGGUUAGCUAGAGUCUUGUAGAGGGGGUUAGAAUUCCAUGUGUAGCGGUGAAAUGCGUAGAGAUGUGGAGGAAUACCGGUGGCGAAGGCGGCCCCCUGGACAAAGACUGACGCUCAUGUGCGAAAGCUGGGGAGCAAACAGGGAUUAGAUACCCGU
rnacentral:rRNA from 1 species